CAGAGGGCACGCUGCAAUCACAUGGCAGCUUCAGCGAUCGAGACAGUAUCAAGGCACGCAUGCUCCUGGGAAAUAAAUGAGGGAACAUUUGCCUCGAUUGCAGAGGGCAUGCUGCAAUUUUAUAUUCAUUCACAUGGUGAAUGAACAGAGAUUCAAGGCCAAUGACAGACCAAAGUUACCUUUCCCAAGCAGCUUCAGCGAUCGAGCAAAGUCUCGGUAUUGAAA
rnacentral:lncRNA from 1 species